UAGUAUUCAAUUGCCAGAGGUGAAANUCUUGGAUUUAUUGAAGACUAACUACUGCGAAAGCAUUUGCCAAGGAUGUUUUCAUUAAUCAAGAACGAAAGUUAGGGGAUCGAAGACGAUCAGAUACCGUCGUAGUCUUAACCAUAAACUAUGCCGACUAGGGAUCGGAUGAUGUUAAUUUUAUAAUGACUCA
rnacentral:rRNA from 1 species